GACAUGGACAGGGAGUUCACAUUAUUCAUUCAUGAGCUCGAGGAAAGCACCAGGCCGCUCUCUUUCUGUUGUUUGUCCAGUGGAGUCCAUGAGAAGUUCAGAUGCAGGAGCCCCCUGCAUCCAAGGAAGUUCACUUGUCAUGCACUAGUGCUCUCGUCUCACAGUAACAGCCAACAGGGAAUGCCCGGGUAGAGGUCGGUGCCCUUAUCUGAACUUCUUCCUUGCUCCUUAUUCAGAACAUUGCAAUAGUUCCGAUCUACUUUGAGGAUGUAUGCUAUUAUAGGAGUAGACGCCUUGUUAAAAAAGUUCUCUUGGCGUGUAUGAAAAAGUUCAUUUCUUUCAUAGGGAUUUUACAGCAUCGAGCGGUUCACUUGUUAACUUUGAGUAGUUCAAUUAGGCUACAAAGAAGUUCCCGGUCCUGUAGAAAAAAAACAAUGUUUGAGUAGUUAACCUGCAUCGAUGCGAGUCCGGCGAUGCCCAACCCGGGAGUUCACAUGCAUAUCCACGUGAUUUAACACACGCGCCCGCCCUCCGUCGACCAUUUUUUGAGAUGUAAUUUUUUCUCUUCUUGUUCUUGAAUAGUGGUCAGAUUCAUAUAGCUAAAAAAUCAUAGUGAUGUGCUUGCUUUUGUUCUAUUUCAGUUGUGCAAUCCGAAAUUCUUGAGCAGACUGUACUGUAUCACGGUACUCUGAAGUUAGCUAGUGAGUUAACUUCUCAAAAAAUGGUAGUUGUAACACAUGUUCUGAAGUUCAAAAUUUCAGUUUGUUUGGUAGAAGCAGUUCCAAUCGAACAUGCUUAAUUUGUUAAUAGAACAUAGUGCUACUUGUAGUUCACUUCUCCUAAUUCAUGAAGUUCACACAUAUUUUUACUUGAUUAUUUAGUUCAUCCAAUGUUCAUUUUUUCCGGCAAAAAAGGUUCAAUUCACCCACGAGGAAAACGUUCAAUUUUGUUGUCAUGAAGUUCACUAUUUUCAAACCUAGAAGUUCACAUAUUGUUUAAAAAUAUGGAAUUAGCUUUUAUUUAAAAUGUGAAAUUCCCUUUUAUUAUUUAAAAUGUGAAGUUCGCUUUUAUUUAAAAUGCAAGUUCGCUUGUCCACAUAAGCACAAAAAUUUGAAGUUCGCUUUUACUUAAAAAGCAAAUUAGCUUGUCCAUAAUGUGAAGUUCACUUUUAUUGAAAAUGCAACUCCUUGCAUCUGUGAAGUGCAGCUGUAUAUUGUCCUUGCAUCUGUCUCUCUUUUCUUUGUAUUUGUUCUCUCUUUUCUCUGUAUUUGCUCUCUCUUUUUGAUGGAAAAAAUGAAUCAAGGCUAGGAAUAAUAUGGUACAAGUAUGUGCUGAUGUCAUGUCUGGCUAUAAAAAGAAGUAGAGGUUCCUUUUCUUUACAAACAAAGCCAACUGU